GCCCAUACCAUGCUGAAUAUACCGGUUCUCGUUAGAUCACCGAAGUCAAGCAUCAUUGGGCGCGGUCAGUACUUGGGUGGGUGAACGCCUGGGAACACCGCGUGCCGUU